UUUCUGUAUACGAAGUGAUAGCUGUACCUGUACCUGAAAUCAUACAAUACUACAACCAGUAGUAUAGAGCUGCUCAAAAAAAACAUAUAUAAAUAAACCUCGGUUCAAUACAUAUAUAGUAUCCUGGUACAAAAACACUCGUUCCAGCGAAGCACUAACAUCAGUAUGUAAAAGAACCAAAAACUACAACUAUCUGUAGCUGGUAUAACUCUAGAUCA
rnacentral:lncRNA from 1 species